UCCUACAGAUCAAGAUGUAGAUCUCAGCUAUUGUUCCAGAGCCAUGUUCCCACCAUGAUGAUAAUGGACUGACCCUCUGAAGGGUACCAAUUCCAAGUUACAGUCCAUCAGCUUGUGACAGUAAAGACAGAAGUGUCCAAGAACUAGCAACAUUGUAUUGUCAUUGGUUCUGUCAGACACCACAACCAUUGACAUCAGAAUGAAAAGGAUCAUCUACCUCUGGCUCUGGCCCACAGGAUCUGUUUUUCAUGCUCUUUGGAACACCACACAAAGUGAAGAAAAGCCUCUAUAGGUUUUAUUUAAUCUUCACAUAGUAUAAAUGAUAUGGGUCACUCCUUUAUAAGAGACUUAAUUUUUCCAUGAAAUACAGUGAAAUAAGAAUUAUUUUGCCACAGCUACACUAUCUUAUAUUGUUAUUCCAACAAGAAAUAUAUGAUUGCUUAAGGAAACAGGAGCUGUGCAUUCUUCAAGCUGCAGCGCUGACUCAGUCAUGCAGAACUAACUUCCUGGCGGUCUCUGAAUACACACCAAGCUGCUCUGUAGCUGUUGCUGACAAUGAACUAGUGACUGGAAAAAGGAAUCUUAAACACAGUCACAUCUCCAGACUCUUAAAAUCCUGUUCACAAGGCCUAAUACACUGCAGAACGGGAAUAUGUUUAAAGAAAGUGUUUGAACGGUAGAAAAAGCAUUUUAUCUAAUUUUUUUUUUUUUUUGAGAAUUGCUAGGCAACUAAAACAUUCUUUUUACAUAUAUUCAUUGGAGUACCACAAUUCUAUUGAGCCUUUCUAGUGGAUAAUUAAUUGUUAAAAAUUUGCUUAUUCUAUACUAAAUAUUCAGGAGAUAGUAAAUGAGGUAAUUUAUUUUUGGGGGGACCAUUUACAGAAAAUCUUAAAUUGAGCAACUAGUUUUAUGGGAAGUGUUACUGUGUGAUACUUUGGAAGGAAGAGACCACUUUCAUGGGUUGGUUUGCUAGUUAGUAUUUAUUAAUUGAGAUGAUUCAAAUGAUUGGUUUUUGCUUAAAGUACAAAUAGUGAAACCGGUUUGAUUUUACAGAAAGACUUCAGUAGUUGGCAGGAAAUCCAUCUGAGAGUUCCAUCAUGGAGCUCAGCCCAUGGUGCGGCAGGGGCUAAUUGUGAUGGUGAUCCCCUGGCACAGAAUAAGCCCUUUAGUAACAGGCCUUGCCAAGUUCAUUUGGGAAACUACUUGUAUUUAGGAAGUAUGGUGAAUCUUAGGGUGUGGGGAGAGACUUAGUAAUGAAGAGCAGAGACUAAUUGAAAAACGUUAAAGUCGAAGAAGGCAUUAGAUAAAAUUGUUUCCAUCAUCUGCAUUUUAAUAAUUAGUAUAAAAUCUAAUUAGCGUAGAGUCGAAUUGAAUGAGGCUUUUAGCCAAAUUUUAUUGUCUGUAUCAUUGGGUAGGUAUGGUUGGUAUUUUCUAAUCAGAAUUAAUCUUAUUUUAAGAACUAUGAUAAAAUACUUUGUGUGUUAAAGAUAUGGUAAAGAAUUAAACUUGAAUUAGGUCCUUAAAAGUGCACAAUUAAGUUGAUUAAGGUAAUUUUAUUAAGUUCAGGACAAUGAUUUCUUUUUAUUUAUUGACUUGGUCAUUAGUUUUAAAUAUCAACAAUUCUUUCACUGAAUCUAAAAUCCAUAGAGCUCAUGAACUUAUUAAUGUCUCACUUUUCCUAGUUUUUACCUCAGCAGAUCCUAGAAACAGACUGUAAAAUUCGUCAAUUUUUAAAGUAUGUACAUUUUUCAAGGAUUUCAAGUCAGUAAUAUAAAGCUUACUGUUAAUAUGUUAUCUUUGCUAGUAGAAAUUAUGUUCUGGAAAUAUAAACAUCUUUAAAAAUCUGUAUGUUCCAGUUUGUGACCACUCCUGAAAAUGUGUUGUAAAGAGUUUAAAGAGAAAUUUGUUUGUUGGAUUGUAAAGUUUAAACACAUCAUUUUCCUUGUUAUCUGGUAUAUCUCCUGGUCUUCAUAUUUUCACAGGAUUCGGUUUAGAAAAUUCUUCUGUUCUCACUUCACUGAUUGCUAUUGUUAUCAUGGCAGCUUCUCAUCUUCCCAUAACAGCAUGUUAAUCUAUAUUCUUAAAUGUGUCAGUUAAGUUAUAAAGGUCUGCACGUGUUAUAUUUUAUUGGAAGGUUUUGCUUACAUUUGAUAGCUUUGAAAUAUUACUUUGUUUAUGCUUUAUAUAUUUAGCUAUUUUUUUUUCAAAUUUUCUGCCAUGUUUUCUCACCACUUUAACGAACAGUAAAGGACAACAGUUACU